CUAGCGCGCUGCGAUCAUGAUCGAGUGAUUCGCUGGGAGAAUUUUAACACGCGUGGCAUUGCGCAAGCAGCUGUUGUGGACCCGAGACGACCAUACUCAUCGAGGGAAUUUUUCCUGAACCAUCAUGGCAGACAAUGGGGGAAAUGUAGAAAAUAAUCAAGGAGAUGCACCAAUUUCCAAGAAAGCCCAGAAGAAAGCCCAAAAGGAAGCAGAGAAAGCGGCUAAAAAGGCUGAAAGACAAGCAGAACAGGCUGCAGAGGCCGAGGCAGAAGCAGGAGAUGAUUUUGCUAAGGAUCUCUAUGGCAAUUAUCCCCUGAUUCAGUCACAGAAUAAGAUUGAGAGGAAAAUCUACCGAGUUGAAGAGCUUACUGCAGACAAAAUUGAUCAGAAGGUCUGGAUCAGGGCUCGCUUACACACCAGCAGGAGCAAAGGCAAGCAAUGUUUUCUUGUGCUGCGACAGCAACAGUUUAAUUGCCAGGGUCUGCUCUGUGUCAGUGACAAAGUUAGCAAGCCUAUGGUUAAAUUUGCUGCCAAUAUUACAAAGGAAUCCAUUGUUGAUGUUGAGGGUGUGAUAGCUGCUGUGCCUCAGCCGAUUGAGAGCUGUACCCAGAAAGAUGUCGAACUUCACAUUGAACAGAUAUUUGUUGUGAGUCCUGCUGAGCCCAGAUUGCCUCUGCAAAUUGAUGAUGCUGCCAGAGCAGAGGGAAAGGAUGAUGAUGAUUCUUCCUUAGCAACGGUAGGACAAGAUGUCCGCCUUGACAACCGUGUCCUUGAUCUCAGGACCACUACUAACCAGGCCAUCUUCCGUCUUGAAGCCGGAGUAGUCCAAGAGUUUCGUGCAGCCAUGAAGAAGAGAGAUUUUGUUGAACUUCAGAUUCCCAAGAUCAUUUCAGCUGCCAGUGAGGGUGGAGCCAAUGUGUUUACUGUGUCUUACUUCAAGAACAAUGCCUACCUUGCUCAAUCACCUCAGCUCUACAAACAGAUGGGGAUUGCGGCUGACUUUGAGAGGGUUUUCACUAUUGGUGCAGUUUUCAGGGCAGAAGACUCCAACACACAUCGUCAUCUGUGUGAGUUUGUGGGCUUGGACAUGGAGAUGGCCUUUAAAUAUCAUUAUCAUGAGGCCCUGGAUGUCAUUGGAAGCGUAUUCAACGAUAUCUUCAGGGGUCUUCGAGACAACUUCCAGACAGAGAUCCAGACAGUAAGACGUCAGUUCCCGUCAGAAGACUUCAAGUUCCUAGACCCUCCUCUUCGUCUGGAGUGGCCUGAGGGUAUCAAGAUGCUGCGUGAUGCAGGCAUUGAGAUUGAUGACCUAGAAGAUCUUAGCACCCCUAAUGAGAAGUUCUUGGGUCGUCUUGUGAAGGAGAAGUAUGACACUGAUUUCUACAUCUUGGAUAAGUUCCCACUCUGCAUUCGGCCUUUCUACACUAUGCCUGAUCCAAACAACCCGCAAUACUCCAAUUCCUAUGACUGUUUCAUGAGAGGAGAAGAAAUCAUGUCUGGUGCUCAGCGAGUUCACGAUUCAAAGUUCCUCCUGGAGAGAGCCAAGCACCAUAACAUUGAUAUUGAGAAGAUCAAGGCCUACAUUGAUGCCUUUCGCUAUGGAGCGCCUCCACAUGCUGGUGGUGGAAUAGGUCUGGAGCGUGUCACCAUGUUGUACCUUGGUCUGGACAAUAUCAGGAAGACAUCACUCUUCCCUCGUGAUCCCAAGCGUCUUACACCAUGAGAAAGCACAGUGCUCGCAAUUAGUAAUUUUUGUACCGGUAGUUUAAAUUUUUUAUGAUUAUAAUCGACCUGUGAUAGUCAGCACUAUAGUAGAAACAAUUUUGGGGUCUUCUUUAGAAAUAUGUAUCUUUACAAGUAAGUAUUUUAGAGUAUACAACUUGAAUGAGUCAUUUUAGUUAUUUUAUUCAAGUUUUAUUUCAGCAUCUUACCUCAGGGAUGUUAAAGUUUAUCUUGAGUUCUGGUGAUGAUAAGAUUACAAACUCACAGUAUCAAAUGAAAAUACAAGACCCCCCAAAAUAAUGUCUUCCAAAUGAUUUAGUUCAACAGUGUAUAGAGGCUGAGUUGUGAGCACAGGAAGUUGAACAAAUCGAGCUCGUAUCUCUGACUCCAUAAAGUAUGAUGUCAUACAUAGAAACAUAUAUGCCUUUCAAUGAAUGUGAGUUGCUAGAAGGUUUUGAUAACUCAUAUAUUGUCUGUUUGUAGCCAGAAGUUAGUUAACUCAUAUACUUUAACACACAGUUAACGCCCCUUUAGCUCUGAACAGAUGAUGUAUUCUGAUUAUCCAAACAAACCCAUCUAUGGUAUGAUAAACAGUUCAUAAUUUUUCAUGUCAUUUUCUGUCAAAAUAUAAUUCCACCACUGAAACUCAAGAUAAAUUCUAAAGAAUGUGUAACGAUGAUAACAAAACAAAAUAAAACAAAAUUAAGCUCAGCUAUAAAGAGAUUAAUCCAAUUCCUCAUGGUUUUACUUUUAAAAAAUGGAAAUGCCUUUCAGUGGUAAAUUAAGCAAAAUUCUACAUCUACCUGUUUAUGUUAUAACGCAUGGUGCAAACAAUACGAUCACAUAUGUGAUCAGUGUGUAAAUAACAAAAAGAGAGAAAGCAAAAGUUUGAAUUGAUAAAUCUCAUUCCUUUCCUUCCUUUCUUUUGUCUGUUUUUUAUGUUGAGCAUUAUUUAAAAAAAAUAUGAAGGAAAUGCUCUUUAGCUGAGUAACUAUAGUUAGUUUAUCUAGAAGUAGUACAAAACUCUCUUUUGUACAAUUGAUAAAUUAGGGUAUUAUGGCAUAUGACGACACUGAGGAUUAGUGUAUAAUAAACGGUCGACUUUAUGCCAUUUCCACCUUCUAUAAUUGUUUUGUUCCACCUUCUAUAAUUGGAUUUUGAUAUUGUAAAAGCCUUAAAAGGUGAUAAAGAACCUAACAAUCAUUCUGCUUUUAUUUCAUCAUCUAUGUAUUCUUUAAAUUAAAAUCAAUGUCUCUUAUCUGCCCAGCAGGUUGUAGAAAACUGUGUGACAGCACUAAGCAUACUUUUCAUGUAAAUUUGUCAUACAUUUGAAUGCCUGUGAGAA
rnacentral:lncRNA from 1 species